CUGAACAGCUGUCUGUGGUAGGGUCGUGUAUAUCCUGUGGACCAAUAGUCUGUGGGUCGGGGCCCGUAGCUUGUAAAGGCUGCUCUACUGGUAGCUCGGCCCCUGGAGCGACCAGCUCUCCCAGAAAAACGAUGAGUAUGGGAGCGAAAAACCCUACGUAGGGAGGACUGGGCUUUAUUGAGUGUGGUAAAGACCGAGACAUGCUUGGAGAGGUCUCGCAAUAAACUGUUACCGAACAGU